AAUAGAUACCCUGGUAGUCCACGCCGUAAACGAUGAGUGCUAAGUGUUAGAGGGUUUCCACCCUUUAGUGCUGCAGCUAACGCAUUAAGCACUCCGCCUGGGGAGUACGGCCGCAAGGCUGAAACUCAAAGGAAUUGACGGGGGCCCGCACAAGCGGUGGAGCAUGUGGUUUAAUUCGAAGCAACGCGAAGAACCUUACCAGGUCUUGACAUCCUCUGACCUCCCUGGAGACAGGGCCUUCCCCUUCGGGGGACAGAGUGACAGGUGGUGCAUGGUUGUCGUCAGCUCGUGUCGUGAGAUGUUGGGUUAAGUCCCGCAACGAGCGCAACCCUUGACCUUAGUUGCCUGCAUUGAGUUGGGCACUCUAAGGUGACUGCCGGUGACAAACCGGAGGAAGGUGGGGAUGACGUCAAAUCAUCAUGCCCCUUAUGACCUGGGCUACACACGUGCUACAAUGGAUGGUACAAAGGGCUGCGAGACCGCGAGGUUAAGCCAAUCCCAGAAAACCAUUCCCAGUUCGGAUUGCAGGCUGACC
rnacentral:rRNA from 1 species